ACCCCCCUCUAUGCACCCUGUGUGUGUGGGACUUGUCGGCUGAGCCUUCGGGCCCUCCGAUCAAAUGCAGUAGGUUUGUGCCGGGCUGGUGGCCUGGGACAUUGUGUGCUAGAGACUGUUGUCUUCUCACAGUGCGUCCCGGGUCAAUCAAGCUGGUCUGGUGGCGGGCCUCCUUGCUAAAGGUUUAGAAUGUGUUGUGUAGUGGUAGGCAACCGUCGUCACUAUGCGCUUACAUCCUAACCUUUAUCACCCUUCUCU
rnacentral:misc_RNA from 1 species